rnacentral:tRNA from 1 species
GAUGGCUUAGUGGAUAGGGGAUGGAACUCAAAAUCCAAGGGUCCUGGGUUCG